GGGAAUGUAGCUUAGUGGUACAGUAGUUGCUUACUUACGCACCAGGUUCUGGGUUCAAGUCCCAGUAUCAACCCA
rnacentral:tRNA from 1 species